ensembl:lncRNA
CACGGAUUGAAGCUGGACCCCCAGAAGUAGAAGCUUCAGAGUCCUAACCACUGAAUGGCCAAGACAUUCCUGAACAUGACGUUCUUUGAACCAUUGCCAAAAUCCCCGUGGGCCAGACCCUCCUGGCUACCAUUCUGACAUUAAGCCCCACCCUUCUCCAGGUGGUUAAGGACCGCCACCUCAGUCAGUUCAGUUCAGUCUCUCAGUUGUGUUCAACUCUUUGCAACCCCAUGGACUGCAGCACGCCAGGCUUCCCUGUCCAUCACCAACUCCCAGAGCUUGCUGAAACUCACGUCCAUUGAGUUGAAUAAUGAUCUUGUUACAAACCCCAAGGCCAGACCCCAGAAGGGAUUAUGAUGGGAAUCAUGAAAGCAUGGACUUUGGAACGCCGGGUCAGGAGUAAAGGGUCAUGAUGUCUGCAACUUCCACACAGUUAAAAAUUUUUUUCAAAGCAAUAAGUCAAAAUGUUGAUUAUUAAACCUAGGAAGUUGAGUUCACGGAUAUUUAUUUAAACUUUCUGUGUGUAUGAGUUUUUCCACAAAAAGGGGUCUUGAGGAAAAGACAUAAUUUCUAUUCUCAAGGAGCUCACAGAUUAAAGGAGAGGAUCAGUAAAUAGAUAGAAGAAAGAGUGAGAAAGGAGCAUGCAUGCACAGAAGAAAGA